UAUUCCUCGAUGCAGGGAGGGACGAGAACCCUCGACUUGGGUUCGACAAAACGGCAACGCCGUUUUGGACCGCCAAAGGCGGCCCGGAGGGCGAGCGCUAGCGAGUCAAUCCCUCCCUCACCGCCA
rnacentral:sRNA from 1 species